rfam:Curvibacter sp. GWA2_63_95 gwa2_scaffold_1149, whole genome shotgun sequence.
AAUGAAUCUAUUGUCUGCCAAGCUGUGUGGUUACCGCCACACGGGGAGGGCAACGAAAAGAGGAAUCG